CUUCUGGCUCAGGUUGGUGGUUGAAACCACACUUGGCUCCUCAAGGAAGAGCCCAAGUGCAGUAUUUUAUUACCGGCUCUAACCUGUCGGCUCACAGGGGACCCCGGCCAUCCGUGAUGAGGUUCUGGCAGUGACUGCCAGUGGGUGCCUGGGCAGGGUCAGCAGUGCCUUCUGGGGUGGGAAGUCCUGAGACAUCUGCGACCCAGAUAACAGCGGUGAAAUGACCCAGCUCAUUCUUCACACUAGGCUGUUACGGAGUUGUGAAGGUGAAUGGUGAAUGCCUACCUCCUUCCUUCGUCACGGUCCCGUCCAGAAACUCAGACCAGUCCAGUUCUGAGAAACUCGGCUCUUCUUUCCUCUUGGCAUUGGUAUUUGAGUUUGAGAGACAGAGAGCAUGAGCAGGGGAGAAACAGAGAGACAGAGGGAGUCACAGAAUCUGAAGCAGGCUCCAGGCUCUGAGCUGUCAGCACAGAACCCAAUGCAGGGCUAGAACCCAGGAACCUGAGCUCAUGACUUGAGCUGAAGUUGGACGUUUAACUGACUGAGCCACUCAGGUGCCCCUUAACGUUAAGUUUACUACGUUAUAAUUUCUACAAAUUAAAACUUACCCUUUUCAGUUUUGUGAGUUUUGAAAAACAUAAGUAGUUCUAUAACUAUGACUUCAAUCAAAAUAAAGAAUAUUUCCCUGA